UGAGGAAUAUUGGGCAAUGCCCGCAAGGGUGACCCAGCAACGCCGCGUGGAGGAUGAAUGUCGUAAGAUUGUAAACUCCUGUUAGAGGGGAAGAAUAGUACCGGUUGGACCGGUAUAUGACUGUACCCUCAGAGAAAGCCCCGGCUAACUACGUGCCAGCAGCCGCGGUAAUACGUAGGGGGCAAGCGUUGUCCGGAUUUACUGGGUGUAAAGGGCGCGCAGGCGGGAUAAAAAGUCAGUGGUGAAAUCCUACAGCUUAACUGUAGAACUGCCUUUGAUACUUUUAGUUUUGAGUUCGGGAGAGAGAGACGGAAUUCCAGGUGUAGUGGUGAAAUACGUAGAUAUCUGGAAGAACACCAGUUGCGAAGGCGGUCUCUUGGUCCGACACUGACGCUGAGGCGCGAAAGCGUGGGGAGCAAACA
rnacentral:rRNA from 1 species